rnacentral:piRNA from 1 species
CUUUUGGCCAGUGUUUUGUCACAAUGACACA